GCUAAAAUCUGUCCCAAAACAUACUGCGGUGUCAUGGGGGUGCAUGGGAUUAGAGCUGGAGACUUGUUGGUGUCCACGGACACGCACAGUUCUCUCCCUUGGCCUUCCUAGGGCCACAGAAAAACACUGGUGAAAAAACAAAAACAAAAACAAAAAAACUUAGGAGAACAGAAGUGGGGAAAAAAUAGAGAAUUUUACUGAUAGAUCUGUGCCAGAGCUGUUAGCUUCUUCCUCUCUGCUGGUUUCUAAUGACUAAAUAGAGAAGUGCAAAUAAGGAAAAGCGUUUUCUGUGCUAGCACAGGCUCCCAGUUGCGUGCUCACUGGCAUGCAGAUAAAUGUUGAAACUGCACUGUGCUCUGACUUGCAUCUAGGAAAAUACCAGAAGACAAUUAGACGUUGUAGCCCGGGUCCUCAGUCGGGAGAUAUGUCCAUAUCAAAUGGAUUCCAGCAGGAUUCCUUGCAUAAAUGGAAAACAGACCACUGAUUCGCAUCGAACACUACUUCCUUUCUGCUAUGAAAGAGUGCAUAUAAUACUAUUCCCAGGGGAUACAGCUUGCAAUGACCUUGGUAAGUAAUUGAUGACACCUCACAUAAGCACCUACUCUUCCUCUAUAUGAUGUUGCAGGAUCAUAUUUGCA
rnacentral:lncRNA from 1 species